GUAUUCUUCUGGGUUCUGAAUUGCACCAGCAAGAACUGGACUUUCAGGGUGAUAAUGUUGGAAUUUACUACUCUGAUACAAACCCUAGAGUUUUUAACCCAGGAGACCUACAGGCACUCGGCAAUGAAACGCAGCAAUUGGUGGGUGGAGCUGGGAAUUCUACUCCUUUGGCAUCAGAUAUUUCAAGUUUGGAAGAUUCAACCUUCAAAGUCGGCAAACUCUCAGUUGAGCAAAGGAAGGAGAAGAUCCAUAGGUACAUGAAGAAAAGGAAUGAAAGGAAUUUCAGCAAGAAAAUCAAGUAUGCCUGUCGCAAAACACUGGCAGACAGCAGGCCUCGAGUCAGAGGAAGGUUUGCAAAAAAUGAUGACUUUGGAGAGACCAACAGGGCAGCUUGUAGCAAUCAUGAAGAGGACGACGAAGACGAAAUAGUGGUGAAAGAAGAAGAGGACAUGGUUGAUUCCUCAGAUAUCUUAGCUCAUAUCAGUGGUGUAAACUCCUUCAAAUGCAACUAUUCCAUCCAGUCCUGGAUUUGAUUAGCUUUGAAGUAUUAAAAAUCUCUACAAUUUUGGAGAUGACUCCAUUUCAACCAGGAUUAUUAUAUCUAUCCAGGUUUAAUAAAAGAAAAUAGAAUAAUGUGGGUCG
rnacentral:misc_RNA from 1 species